rnacentral:rRNA from 1 species
ACUCAAAUGAAUUGACGGGGGCCCGCACAAGCAGUGGAGCAUGUGGUUUAAUUCGAUGCAACGCGAAGAACCUUACCUGGGCUCGAAAUAUAGAGGACGAUGUCAGAGAUGACAUUUCUCGUAAGAGUCUUUAUAUAGGUGCUGCAUGGCUGUCGUCAGCUCGUGCCGUGAGGUGUUUGGUUAAGUCCAGCAACGAGCGCAACCCUUAUCGUUAGUUGCCAGCGCGUAAUGGCGGGAACUCUAACGAGACUGCCUGGGUUAACCAGGAGGAAGGUGAGGAUGACGUCAAGUCCGCAUGGCCUUUAUGUCCAGGGCUACACACGUGCUACAAUGGUCGGUACAGAAGGCAGCGAAACCGCGAGGUGAAGCAAAUCCUGAAAAACCGAUCUCAGUUCAGAUUGUAGUCUGCAACUCGGCUACAUGAAGUUGGAAUUGCUAGUAAUGGCGUGUCAGCAACAACGCCGUGAAUACGUUCCCGGGCCUUGUACACACCGCCCGU